GAAACUAAAAGAAUUUGGCGGUAUUAUAUAGCAUCAGGGGAACCUGUUUUUUAAUCGAUAGUACUCGUUCUACCUUACUUGGGCUUAAGUUUAUAUAUCGCUGUUUUGAACUAAUAUUUAGGUUAGGUUCUGGAAGUUAGUUGGGAAGAUAUUUCAGGUCAAGGUUUAGUAGAUGUUUGAGUAAAAAUGGGUUACAAUAAUAGGAGUKAUACGGAAGUUUUGUUAAAAUGUGAUGGAAGGUGGAUUUGAAAGUAAGUUUAUUGAUAAAUAGGUUGAAAGG
rnacentral:rRNA from 1 species